rnacentral:rRNA from 1 species
GCAACUCGCCUACAUGAAGUCGGAAUUGCUAGUAAUCGCGGAUCAGCAUGCCGCGGUGAAUACGUUCCCGGGCCUUGUACACACCGCCCGUCACACCAUGAGAGCCGGUAACACCCGAAGUCAGUAGCCUAACCGCAAGGGGGGCGCUGCCGAAGGUGGGAUUGGUAAUUGGGGUGAAGUCGUAACAAGGUAGC